UGACUCCUCCAUGUCUUGGAGUAGGUCAUUGGGUGGAUCCUCUAUUUCCCUAUGCGGGCCACUGGAUGGCUCCUCCAUGUCUUGGAGUAGAUCA
rnacentral:pre_miRNA from 1 species